CUACAGUAAAGACUCUUGCCCACAUUUUCCCUGCCUCCUGACCAACCAUGGUGCUUCCCCAUGUGACCCUGCAUGAUGUGCCAAGCACCCUGUUUCUAGGAAUCUAAAGCCAAUGUAUCAGCACACGACUGAGCACCAAUGUCAUGUACAACACAUGGAAGGAAAUGAGGAUGCUUCAAAGGUAG